rnacentral:rRNA from 1 species
AGAUUGAACGCUGGCGGCAGGCCUAACACAUGCAAUUCGAGCGGUAGAGAGGAGCUUGCUCCUCUUGAGAGCGGCGGACGGGUGAGUAAUGCCUAGGAAUCUGCCUGGUAGUGGGGGAUAACGUUCGGAAACGGACGCUAAUACCGCAUACGUCCUACGGGAGAAAGCAGGGGACCUUCGGGCCUUGCGCUAUCAGAUGAGCCUAGGUCGGAUUAGCUAGUUGGUGAGGUAAUGGCUCACCAAGGCGACGAUCCGUAACUGGUCUGAGAGGAUGAUCAGUCACACUGGAACUGAGACACGGUCCAGACUCCUACGGGAGGCAGCAGUGGGGAAUAUUGGACAAUGGGCGAAAGCCUGAUCCAGCCAUGCCGCGUGUGUGAAGAAGGUCUUCGGAUUGUAAAGCACUUUAAGUUGGGAGGAAGGGCAGUAAAUUAAUACUUUGCUGUUUUGACGUUACCGACAGAAUAAGCACCGGCUAACUCUGUGCCAGCAGCCGCGGUAAUACAGAGGGUGCAAGCGUUAAUCGGAAUUACUGGGCGUAAAGCGCGCGUAGGUGGUUUGUUAAGUUGGAUGUGAAAUCCCCGGGCUCAACCUGGGAACUGCAUUCAAAACUGACUGACUAGAGUAUGGUAGAGGGUGGUGGAAUUUCCUGUGUAGCGGUGAAAUGCGUAGAUAUAGGAAGGAACACCAGUGGCGAAGGCGACCACCUGGACUAAUACUGACACUGAGGUGCGAAAGCGCGGGGAGCAAACAGGAUUAGAUACCCUGGUAGUCCACGCCGUAAACGAUGUCAACUAGCCGUUGGAAGCCUUGAGCUUUUAGUGGCGCAGCUAACGCAUUAAGUUGACCGCCUGGGGAGUACGGCCGCAAGGUUAAAACUCAAAUGAAUUGACGGGGGCCCGCACAAGCGGUGGAGCAUGUGGUUUAAUUCGAAGCAACGCGAAGAACCUUACCAGGCCUUGACAUCCAAUGAACUUUCUAGAGAUAGAUUGGUGCCUUCGGGAACAUUGAGACAGGUGCUGCAUGGCUGUCGUCAGCUCGUGUCGUGAGAUGUUGGGUUAAGUCCCGUAACGAGCGCAACCCUUGUCCUUAGUUACCAGCACGUCAUGGUGGGCACUCUAAGGAGACUGCCGGUGACAAACCGGAGGAAGGUGGGGAUGACGUCAAGUCAUCAUGGCCCUUACGGCCUGGGCUACACACGUGCUACAAUGGUCGGUACAGAGGGUUGCCAAGCCGCGAGGUGGAGCUAAUCCCACAAAACCGAUCGUAGUCCGGAUCGCAGUCUGCAACUCGACUGCGUGAAGUCGGAAUCGCUAGUAAUCGCGAAUCAGAAUGUCGCGGUGAAUACGUCCCCGGGCCUUGUACACACCGCCCGUC